UACUAGAGUAGCACUCGCAUAUCAAUAAGCGGAGGAAAAGAAACUAACAAGGAUUCCCCUAGUAACGGCGAGUGAAGCGGGAAGAGCUCAAAUUUGAAAUCUUAAAGGGUUUCCCUUUACGAAUUGUAGUUUAAAGAAGUGUUUUCUGUUGAGGUUUUGGUAAAAGUUCUUUGGAAUAGGACAUCAUAGAGGGUGAGAAUCCCGUAUUUGACCUUUACUUUCAACUUUGUGAUACACUUUCAAAGAGUCGGAUUGUUUGGGAAUGCAGUCCAAAAUGGGUGGUAAAUUUCAUCUAAAGCUAAAUAUUGGCGAGAGACCGAUAGCGAACAAGUACCGUGAGGGAAAGAUGAAAAGAACUUUGAAAAGAGAGUUAAACAGUACGUGAAAUUGUCAAAAGGGAAGCGUUUGACACCAGUGUUGUUUUUCUGAAAAUCAAUUAAAGAACUGUUUAUGCUAAGCUGUUUAGACUUUAUCAGCUAUCUGUUUAGUUUUGAGCUUUUCUUUAAUGCACUUUUCAGUUAACAAGUCAACAUCAAUUUCUUUUGCUGUAAAAAAGCUUGAGGAAGGUGGCUUGAGAUUCGUCUUAAGUGUUUAUAGCCUCUUGCCUAUGCAGUCGGAGAGAUUGAGGUCUGCAGCGUAGAUCCUUCGGGGCUAAAUGCAUUUGUGCUAAGUUAUAGCAUUUUAUAGACAACUUGUUGACUAUGAUUUGUCUUGUAGCUUACUCGCUUAUGUUAUUUUACCUACGCUUAGGAUGUUGAGUCAUCACACAUCUCU
rnacentral:rRNA from 1 species